rnacentral:rRNA from 1 species
AUUGAACGCUAGCGGGAUGCUUUACACAUGCAAGUCGAACGGCAGCGCGGACUUCGGUCUGGCGGCGAGUGGCGAACGGGUGAGUAAUGUAUCGGAACGUGCCCAGUAGCGGGGGAUAACUACGCGAAAGCGUAGCUAAUACCGCAUACGCCCUAGGGGGAAAGCAGGGGAUCGUAAGACCUUGCACUAUUGGAGCGGCCGAUAUCGGAUUAGCUAGUUGGUGAGGUAACGGCUCACCAAGGCGACGAUCCGUAGCUGGUUUGAGAGGACGACCAGCCACACUGGGACUGAGACACGGCCCAGACUCCUACGGGAGGCAGCAGUGGGGAAUUUUGGACAAUGGGGGCAACCCUGAUCCAGCCAUCCCGCGUGUGCGAUGAAGGCCUUCGGGUUGUAAAGCACUUUUGGCAGGAAAGAAACGUCGCGGGCUAAUACCCCGUGGAACUGACGGUACCUGCAGAAUAAGCACCGGCUAACUACGUG